GACGAACGCUGGCGGCGUGCUUAACACAUGCAAGUCGAACGGAAAGGCCCUGCUUUCGUGGGGUGCUCGAGUGGCGAACGGGUGAGUAACACGUGAGUAACCUGCCCUUGACUUUGGGAUAACUUCAGGAAACUGGGGCUAAUACCGGAUAGGAGCUCCUGCUGCAUGGUGGGGGUUGGAAAGUUUCGGCGGUUGGGGAUGGACUCGCGGCUUAUCAGCUUGUUGGUGGGGUAGUGGCUUACCAAGGCUUUGACGGGUAGCCGGCCUGAGAGGGUGACCGGCCACAUUGGGACUGAGAUACGGCCCAGACUCCUACGGGAGGCAGCAGUGGGGAAUAUUGCACAAUGGGCGGAAGCCUGAUGCAGCAACGCCGCGUGCGGGAUGACGGCCUUCGGGUUGUAAACCGCUUUCGCCUGUGACGAAGCGUGAGUGACGGUAAUUGGUAAAGAAGCACCGGCUAACUACGUG
rnacentral:rRNA from 1 species